rnacentral:lncRNA from 1 species
AAUGAUAGGCACCCUUUACAUUCUUGAUAAAUCCAGUUUCUUACCUGAACUUUUAGCUAAAUUUAAUAAAAGUUCUAUUUCCUGUAAUAGUUCCAGUACUUUUGAUUCCUUUGUUAACAAUAUUGAUGUGUCAUCAUGUGUAAUGUGGCACAAAAGACUUGGCCACACAUCUGCUACUGUUUUGAAACACAUCAAAGCUUGUAAUAAUCAUGAUUUCUUUGACAUCUCACCUUGUGAUAUCUGUGCUAAGUCCA